AGAAGCUCUGGCUGGCAAGGAGCUGUGCUGAGUGUAGAGACACAGAAAUGCAGAACCUCAGAACCCCGCAAGCAUCCAUGUCCAACUGGCAACUUUCUUGAAGAAAAUUCCAGUCAUAUCUGAGCUGGCUCCAAAUGCAAAGAGCUGAUUUGAAAUAUGCAGAGUCCUGCUCCAGAAAACACAACUUGAAGCAGCAGGAUAAAACAAACGUGGAAGAUGGAUGUUGAUCCUUAAAAAGCCAAACUGGCAUCCAUCAAUGAUUCAGAACACGAGAAGCAAGGAGCACAGUGUGACCCAGUGGGUCCUUCUUCUUGUCAUGCACAUCAUCUGCAGCUUAGGUUAAUCAGUGUCGAAAAUAAUGAAACAUCUCUUCUGGGUGCUGGAGGUGCUGACCUUUCAGUGGUUUUUUUCACUGCAAAGCAACUUCCAGUUGAACAAUCCCACCCUGGAAAGGAAAAAUGUGCAUUUACCAUCCUCCUCCCUGUGUGUGGUGCCAAGAUGAACUUGGGUGCUCAUCCAGCCACGUUUGUUACAGAUCCAGAUUAAAUGUGUUAAUUCAGGUCAGAUUUAGGCAUUAGUCCAUUCCCAACUAAUUAAGAUCAACACACAUCUGUCUAAUUCGAAUGGCAUGUCCUUUUGUGUUUCCCAUUUUGAAAAGUGACAAGGAAACAGUAAUUCAGGGAUGACUAAGUAAAGGUUCAUUUUCACUCCAACACAUUUUGAAAAAUGAGAGUAUAAAUCAAAAACAACA